UACGUAGGUGGCGAGCGUUGUCCGGAUUUACUGGGCGUAAAGAGCGCGCAGGCGGUCGUUCAAGUCGCGUGUGAAAGCCCCCGGCUUAACUGGGGAGGGUCACGCGAUACUGAUCGACUCGAAGGCAGGAGAGGGUAGUGGAAUUCCCGGUGUAGUGGUGAAAUGCGUAGAUAUCAGGAGGAACACCAGUGGCGAAGGCGACUACCUGGCCUGUUCUUGACGCUGAGGCGCGAAAGCUAGGGGAGCAAACGGG
rnacentral:rRNA from 1 species